GUAAUCGUAGGUCAGCAUACUACGGUGAAUACGUUCCCGGGCCUUGUACACACCGCCCGUCAAACCAUGAGAGUUGGCAACACCCGAAGUCGGUAGUCUAACCGCAAGGAGGACGCCGCCGAAGGUGGGGUUGAUGAUUGGGGUUAAGUCGUAACAAGGUAUC
rnacentral:rRNA from 1 species